GCAAAUCAUGUUAGAUGGAAACUUCAUUGACCUUAAACUCAAGUUAAUUGGCUUUCACACUAUAAUUGACUAAAGUGAGUUGUUGGAAGAAUUGAUAUUUACCCCACAGUUAUAUAAGGGCACCACUUUGAGAUAAAGACAUAGACCUGAAUGGCAUCAUCCGGUAUCCAAGGAAACCAUCUUGCAGGCUUGCCACCACGUGGGAGGUACUGUCACCCUGAAGGAGACUCCAUUGCUGUGACUUCUCUCCCUCUUGAUCUGAAUACAGCAGUGGCCUGCGAACAGUGAUAUUGCACAAAUAAGAGGUCCCACACCUGCCAAUAAAGCAUAGAAGUCAGUUUGAAAUGACCUACAUCUGCUUUGUAAAAGUCACACUUCCAUCUGAUUUUUAGAAUCAUUCUUUUUACGUUUUUAAUGGAUAAAGUAGAUUUAGAAAACUACUGAAAUGUUCCUGUAGAUCUCAAGUACUAUUGAAUUAUUAAUUGUGGAAUAAGAACUGCUGAGGCAGGCAGUGAGAUGCCACCAGGUUCCAGAUGCUACCAUGAUACCAACCGGACUUCCUUGGACAGAUGACCCCACCAAUAUAUCCUGGAGCUUCACUUCCUCAGAGCCCUGCCCCACUAGGGAAAGAGAGAGACAGCCUGGAAUUAUGGAUAGACCUGUCAACGCCCAUGUUCAGCGGGGAAACAAUUACAGAAGCCAGACCUUCCACCUUCUGCAUCCCACAAUGACCUUGGGUCCAUGCUCCCAGAGGGAUAAAGAAUAGGAAAGCUACCAGGGGAGGUGAUGGGAUAUGGAGCUCUGGUGGAGGGAAUUAUACCCCUCUUAUUCUAUGGUCUUUUAAGUGUUUCCAUUUUAUAAACAACUAAAUUAAGAAAAAAUAAAACAAAACACUAGCUAAAAUAGUAUAGUAUUAGAACAAAAGCAGGCAGUGGACCAAUGGAACAGCAUAGAGUCAAGAAGUAACAAAAGAUACUGAUAUUAUACACCCACAAAAGGAUUGUUACAAAAAUAUAUAAAAAGUGGUAGUAGAAUAAUUCACCUGGAUUGUGACCUCCUUUGUCACGUGUGUAACUCAAGUUUGAGCCCAACCCCAACUGCACUGGAUGAAGCCUAUGUGCUCUUGUAUCUUUUACUCUGUGUCUCUCUGUUUCUAAAAACAAAUAAAUAAAUAAAUAAGUAAACUGACUACAGGAUA